rnacentral:lncRNA from 1 species
AAUUAAUAUUUUCAAGAUGGGUGUUUCAAAUAUGUCAUUUAUUUUUGGAUUAAGAAAAGAACUUUAGUAUUUAGAUUUAAAAAAAAUACUUUUCUAGUCAAAUGGUUUGUUUUAUUUCAAUGAAGAUUUAAUAUAAUACAAAUAACUUCAAAUUUUAGUAUUUUAGACAUAAAUAGGUAAAAAACCUGAUAAGUUAGAAAAUUCUCUCCAGACUCAGCUUUAAUUCAAAAAAUAUAUAUUGUUGUUUAUCUAAAAUCAUUAUUAGAUGGUUGUAUUUUUUAUUGAAUAUUAAUUAGCACAUACCAAUUCAAAAAUAUUUUAUCUCGUAUUAAAAAUAGAAAAUAUAGUUGAAAUU